GACCUUGACCCGUCAGAACAGAGCGACCACAGUACACGCUGUACGAGACUCUGAGCUGGCCAAGCUACCAGAAGGUGCACUUUGCUCUAUCAAGAGGAAAUUUCCUCAGGUUGUCACCAGGCUGAUCCACUUACUCGGACAGAAGAUACUGCAGCAGGUCAAUGGUCCUCUGACAGCUCGCAGUUUGGCCCUGCACACACCAGGAAGUAAGUGGGAUGCAGGAAACCAAGCCUCCAACCUCUCCACUGUGGCAGUCCUGCCAGUAUCAGAAGAGGUGCCUCUUACUGCCUUUACUCUAGAGCUGCAGCAUGCACUCCUUGCA